CCUGAAUCCAUCUCGAACUCAGAAGUGAAACAGACUCGCGCCGAUGAUAGUGUGAGGUUUCCUC
rnacentral:rRNA from 1 species